UACGUAGGGUGCAAGCGUUAAUCGGAAUUACUGGGCGUAAAGCGUGCGCAGGCGGUUAUGUAAGACAGAUGUGAAAUCCCCGGGCUCAACCUGGGAACUGCAUUUGUGACUGCAUAGCUAGAGUACGGUAGAGGGGGAUGGAAUUCCGCGUGUAGCAGUGAAAUGCGUAGAUAUGCGGAGGAACACCGAUGGCGAAGGCAAUCCCCCUGGACCUGUACUGACGCUCAUGCACGAAAGCGUGGGGAGCAAACGAGG
rnacentral:rRNA from 1 species